CCUACGGGAGGCAGCAGUGAGGAAUAUUGGUCAAUGGGCGCGAGCCUGAACCAGCCAAGUAGCGUGCAGGAUGACUGCCCUACGGGUUGUAAACUUCUUUUAUACAGGAAUAAAGUGAGGCACGCGUGCCUUUUUGUAUGUACUUUAUGAAUAAGGAUCGGCUAACUCCGUGCCAGCAGCCGCGGUAAUACGGAGGAUUCGAGCGUUAUCCGGAUUUAUUGGGUUUAAAGGGUGCGUAGACGGUUGGUUAAGUCAGAUGUGAAAUUGUGCGGCUCAACCUUCAAAUUGCAAUUGAUACUGGCAGUCUUGAGGACAGUUGAGGUAGGCGGAAUGCGUGGUGUAGCGGUGAAAUGCUUAGAUAUCACGAAGAACUCCGAUUGCGAAGGCAGCUUACUAAACUGCCACUGACAUUGAUGCUCGAAAGUGUGGGGAUCAAACAGGAUUAGAUACCCGGGUAGUC
rnacentral:rRNA from 1 species